rnacentral:rRNA from 1 species
GACGAACGCUGGCGGCGUGCUUAACACAUGCAAGUCGAACGGAAAGGCCCUGCUUUUGUGGGGUGCUCGAGUGGCGAACGGGUGAGUAACACGUGAGUAACCUGCCCUUGACUUUGGGAUAACUUCAGGAAACUGGAGCUAAUACCGGAUAGGAGCUCCUGCUUCAUGGUGGGGGUUGGAAAGUUUCGGCGGUUGGGGAUGGACUCGCGGCUUAUCAGCUUUUUGGUGGGGUAGUGGCUUACCAAGGCUUUGGCGGGUAGCCGGCCUGAGAGGGUGACCGGCCACAUUGGGACUGAGCUACGGCACAGACUCGUACGGGAGGCAGCAGUGGGGAAUAUUGCACAAUGGGCGGAAGCCUGAUGCAGCAACGCCGCGUGCGGGAUGACGGCCUUCGGGUUGUAAACCGCUUUCGCCUGUGACGAAGCGUGAGUGACGGUAAUGGGUAAAGAAGCACCGGCUAACUACGUG